UGGUAAUUUUACUAUACAGUUUUGUAAUUUUAAUCAAUAAUUGAUCAUAAAAAUGUUUAGUAAAUUUACUAUGUAGCUUUCUUAUUGUACUUAUAAGUUUAAUUUUAGGUAAAAAUUCGAAAA